rnacentral:rRNA from 1 species
UAGCGGUAGCACAGAGAGCUUGCUCUCGGGUGACGAGCGGCGGACGGGUGAGUAAUGUCUGGGAACUGCCUGAUGGAGGGGGAUAACUACUGGAAACGGUAGCUAAUACCGCAUAACGUCGCAAGACCAAAGUGGGGGACCUUCGGGCCUCAUGCCAUCAGAUGUGCCCAGAUGGGAUUAGCUAGUAGGUGGGGUAACGGCUCACCUAGGCGACGAUCCCUAGCUGGUCUGAGAGGAUGACCAGCCACACUGGAACUGAGACACGGUCCAGACUCCUACGGGAGGCAGCAGUGGGGAAUAUUGCACAAUGGGCGCAAGCCUGAUGCAGCCAUGCCGCGUGUGUGAAGAAGGCCUUCGGGUUGUAAAGCACUUCCAGCGGGGAGGAAGGCGAUAAGGUUAAUAACCUUGUCGAUUGACGUUACCCGCAGAAGAAGCACCGGCUAACUCCGUGCCAGCAGCCGCGGUAAUACGGAGGGUGCAAGCGUUAAUCGGAAUUACUGGGCGUAAAGCGCACGCAGGCGGUCUGUCAAGUCGGAUGUGAAAUCCCCGGGCUCAACCUGGGAACUGCAUUCGAAACUGGCAGGCUAGAGUCUUGUAGAGGGGGGUAGAAUUCCAGGUGUAGCGGUGAAAUGCGUAGAGAUCUGGAGGAAUACCGGUGGCGAAGGCGGCCCCCUGGACAAAGACUGACGCUCAGGUGCGAAAGCGUGGGGAGCAAACAGGAUUAGAUACCCUGGUAGUCCACGCUGUAAACGAUGUCGAUUUGGAGGUUGUGCCCUUGAGGCGUGGCUUCCGGAGCUAACGCGUUAAAUCGACCGCCUGGGGAGUACGGCCGCAAGGUUAAAACUCAAAUGAAUUGACGGGGACCCGCACAAGCGGUGGAGCAUGUGGUUUAAUUCGAUACAACGCGAAAAACCUUACCUACUCUUGACAUCUAUAAGUAAUAAAGCAGAAAUGUUUUAGUAUCUGUUUGACAGAAUCUUUAAGACAGGUGCUGCAUGGCUGUCGUCAGCUCGUGUUGUGAAAUGUUGGGUUAAGUCCCUUAACGAGCGCAACCCUUAUUCUUUGUUACCAGCGUAAAGUCGGGGACUCUUAGAAAACUGCCAAUAUAAAUUGGAGGAAGGUGAGGACGACGUCAAGUCAUCAUGGCCUUUAUGAGUAGGGCUACACACGUGCUACAAUGGUGUAUACAAAAAGAAGCAAAUUUGUAAAAACGAGCAAAUCUAUAAAAUACAUCACAGUCCGGAUUGAAGUCUGCAACUCGACUUCAUGAAGUAGGAAUCGCUAGUAAUCGUGAAUCAGAAUGUCACGGUGAAUACGUUCUCGGGUCUUGUACACACCGCCCGUCACACCAUGGAAGUGAAUUGNGAAAGAAGAAGAUAUACUUAAUCAAGAAAUGAAGGUUUGUCCACUUGUGUUUCAUAACUG